rnacentral:rRNA from 1 species
AGAGUUUGAUCAUGGCUCAGGAUGAACGCUAGCGGCAGGCUUAACACAUGCAAGUCGAGGGGCGAGCGGGGAGGUAGCAAUACUCCGCCGGCGACCGGCGCACGGGGUGCGUAACGCGUAUGCAACCUACCUUUAACAGGGGCAUAACACUGAGAAAUUGGUACUAAUUCCCCAUAACAUUCGAGAAGGCAUCUUCUUGGGUUAAAAACUCCGGUGGUUAAAGAUGGGCAUGCGUUGUAUUAGCUAGUUGGUGAGGUAACGGCUCACCAAGGCAACGAUACAUAGGGGGACUGAGAGGUUAACCCCCCACAUUGGUACUGAGACACGGACCAAACUCCUACGGGAGGCAGCA